rnacentral:misc_RNA from 1 species
GGCCCAGAAGCUUCUUCUAGAUUCCUGAUGUCUGGGUUUUGAGCUUCUAGGGUUUUACCAUGUGGGAGUUUAACUUCGAGGGUUUCUUGAGUUUUAUGGUUCUCCAUUAUCAAAAAUGUUGAAAAAAUUCUGCCCUUUUCCUCUCCAGUUUACCAAUCUCAAUAUUACUUCAAGAGCUGCAUACAAAACAAUGAGAUUUACAUUGUGACCAAG